GGCUCAGUAGCUUUGUUGGUAAAGUGCUUGUCUAGCAUUCGGGAGUCGUGGGUUCGAUUCCCAUUUGAGCAC
rnacentral:tRNA from 1 species